rnacentral:misc_RNA from 1 species
GUUUGGAUUUGCUUAGAAGCAAAGAUACAGUGGAGUAUGCAAGAAACAGAGUAUAUAAAUUGGUAAGAGACCUCAAAGCCUCUUGCUUGCUAUUAGACGGUGACAGGAAUGGAUCUCUGAAAAUGCAUGACGUUGUUAGGGAUACUGCUCUCGAUAUUGCAUCUAAAUCUCAACACCCAUUCACAUUCAGAGAUGUAGUUGAAACAAAAGAAUGGCCAAACAGGGAUUUCAGAAGCUGCUCCAGAAUCGCUUUGCCUUCCUGUGAAAUCCAUGAGCUUCCUGA